UUAUGGCAAGAAGUGGCCAAGCCAGCUGCUUCCUUUUUCUUUUUAUUUUAAAUGUUACGGUGGUUUUACCUCUUCCGGCUACAACUCUAGCAGGUCCGGCCACGGUGAUCACUGCUCCAAACCCGACGGGUUUUGCUUCUUCAAACGGGAAAGCAACUCAAGGCUCCCACAAACCGGCAAUUUUUCUUCAAGAGGAAAUGUCGCUCCUCAUCUUCUGGCCACGGUGAAAGCGGGUCUUCCCCGUUCGGCGGCAGUAACAGCAGAUCCUCCUCAUCCGGCGACAACAAUAGCUCUUCCCAUCUCUACAACGGCAGCAGCAGCUUCUAGAGACAAAACAGCAGCUGGUCUUCUUUUCUCCACGCCGGCGGUGGCAGCUCUUCUAAAGACCACGGCAGCAGGUCCUCCACAAGUAGGGCGCCAUCUCCAGCGGUCUUCACACCCAGAAACGUCAGCCAUUCAACCUCCAGCCACAGCGCGCCGGCGGCCAUGAACCCUCUCAGCUUAACGUCGUCGCUGUACCCAGCAGCUCCAAGCAUGACGGCAGCGGCAACCUCCUCGCCAGCAGCUACACAUCUCUCCCAAAUGAAGAAUCCGGAAGCUUCAGUAACAACAACAGCGACAACUCCCUCGGCAACUACAGGUGGUUCACCUCGGUCAGCGGCAGCAGGUCACUCGCCGCAGUAGCAUUGUGCAGGAUAAAAAGAAUGGCAUUGUUGACUCUUGAGAUCCUGCCUUUUUGAUAUCCACCUUUUGCAUGUCGCCAUCCAAGAGAAAUAUCAUGACAUGAAUUUAUAAGCUGUUUGUCAAGAGUUUGUGAAAGUGAAAGCGAAGUCUGCUUGCCGAUAAAAAUGAGAUAAGCUGGAGCUGUAGCAUUUCUUUUCAAAUUUUCAUCUAUCUCACUUGUCGCAUACUACUCAGAACCCCUCCACCAACUUUGAUACUAUUCAACAGUAUUUGUACAUCGAACUGAUUAAGUUGAUAAUUGUAAUACUUUAGUAUCUUUAAAAGUUGUUGGAUGAUGUUCCUUCUAUUUAUCUCAGACAUUUUUCUUA